rnacentral:lncRNA from 1 species
GCCUGGCCGGUCCGGUUUUCCCUUUUGUUUCUUUUCCUUUUUUUCCCUUUUUCUAAAUUCUUUGAUAUCUUUUGAUUUUGAACUCCAAAUUGAUCCAAAUAAAUUCCAGAAAAUUUGUAAAAUCAUGUUUUAUCAUGAUUCAACUUUUGGGAGUAAUUUCCCUUCAAAAUAAAAUAUAUAAAAAUACCUUUGCCCUAUAAAUGCUUUUAGGGCUAUAUAACUAUUUAAAUAAAAUAGUUUUUCAACUCCAAAUAAAUAUCCAAAAAUUAUGGAGUAGCUUAUUAUGCAAUAAACCCCAUUUAUAGAUAAACCCUAUUGGUUUUAAGAUCCAAAGCUCAAAUCGGUUAAACCCUAG